UCAGCCGGAACGAAACGGUCACGGCUAAUACCUGUGAUCACUGACGGUACCGGAAGAAGAAGCACCGGCUAACUACGUGCCAGCAGCCGCGGUAAUACGUAGGGUGCAAGCGUUAAUCGGAAUUACUGGGCGUAAAGCGUGCGCAGGCGGUUUUGUAAGUCAGAUGUGAAAUCCCCGGGCUUAACCUGGGAACUGCGUUUGAAACUACAAGGCUAGAGUGUGGCAGAGGGGGGUGGAAUUCCACGUGUAGCAGUGAAAUGCGUAGAGAUGUGGAGGAACACCGAUGGCGAAGGCAGCCCCCUGGGUUAACACUGACGCUCAGGCACGAAAGCGUGGGGAGCAAACAGGAUUAGAUACCCUGGUAGUCCACGCCCUAAACGAUGUCAACUAGUUGUCGGGUCUUAACGGACUUGGUAACGCAGCUAACGCGUGAAGUUGACCGCCUGGGGAGUACGGUCGCAAGAUUAAAACUCAAAGGAAUUGACGGGGACCCGCACAAGCGGUGGAUUAUGUGGAUUAAUUCGAUGCAACGCGAAAAACCUUACCUACCCUUGACAUGUACCGAAGCCCGC
rnacentral:rRNA from 1 species